UAAACAUAAAGCUGGAUACGUCUCAUUAAAUAUAAAAGUGUAGAGGUAAAUUCGGCCGGAACAUAAUCCUCUAACCACAUCGAAUUAAACGCGUUAGCAAUGUUAUGUUUCGAUCGGCGCACCAAACCUCAUUGGGAUUUAGAAGGUUUUUUCUCUGCCGUGUUUAUAACCAGAAUAAUGCCGUAGUAAAUUCAAUUCGGGACGAUAUCCCAAAAUGAGUGCAUAGUUUCGUGAAGUCGGCAUGAAAGCAUUUGUAAUUAAUUGACAAAAUAAUCGUAUCACAUUGAAAUAAAUCCAUUAUGAACGUUAUGUUUGUUUGGUGCACCAAACCUCAUUGGGAUUUUGAAGGUUUUUUUCCUGUGUUGCGUUUAUUACCAGAAUAAUAUCACAGUAAAUUCAGUUUCGGACACUAUCUUAAAACAAGUCGCUAGUUUUGGUGAAGUCGGCAUGAAAUAAUGAUUAAUUUAUUGAUUUUUUUUCUCAAAGACAGCAUUAAACAUUGGCUAUCUUCACUGUAGAGUUAGGUGGUUAUGAUCACUGUUAGCUAGCUGAUAUUAAAGUUGUCACAGGUGCAUGCAGAGUUCAGGAAAGCAGCGGCUCACCUUCCUUUAAUAAUAACUGGUAACGACAUAUGAACCAGGUUACAUGUAAUGGAUUUGCAAGGACUUGCAAAGAAUGAGAAGAUUACUGAACAGUCAGAAAAAUAGUUGUUUGGAACAAAGCCCUCCCGGCCGCAGAGCGAGGCCCACCACCAGUCCGACCCUUCAGGUUUCUGCAGGAUGGUGACCAUGUCUCCCUCUUUGAAGCUCAACUCAUCGGCUGCCUGAGCCGGGUAGUUCCACAGAGCGUACAGCACCCCGCUGUUCUCCACCCCCAUGGCCUCCUCCACACCUGAAACACAGCGACCCAACAUGGGGGCUCCAGGAUGAGCACCAGGCUUUUACAUGGCGACUAAACUGUGAAAUUACAACGUCCCAUGAUGCACAGCAGCCCAAGAAGACUUUUCCCCAUGAGCUUAUUCGGAAGCUCUCACAAUCUUCAAAUCCAACGGCGUAAGGAUCACACUUCUGGGAGGCGGUCGCGCCGUCGCUCUGCGUCAUGGCCAUGACAGCAGCUCCAUUCCUCACCAAAAACUCACACAGAGGACGGUCGUUGCAAGAGGCC